AGUGGGGAAUAUUGCACAAUGGGGGAAACCCUGAUGCAGCAACGCCGCGUGGAGGAUGACACAUUUCGGUGCGUAAACUCCUUUUAUAUAGGAAGAUAAUGACGGUACUAUAUGAAUAAGCGCCGGCUAACUCCGUGCCAGCAGCCGCGGUAAUACGGAGGGCGCAAGCGUUACUCGGAAUCACUGGGCGUAAAGAGCGUGUAGGCGGGUUAAUAAGUCAGAUGUGAAAGCCAAUGGCUCAACCAUUGAACUGCAUUUGAAACUGUUAACCUAGAAUAUGGGAGAGGUAGAUGGAAUUUCUGGUGUAGGGGUAAAAUCCGUAGAGAUCAGAAGGAAUACCGAUUGCGAAGGCGAUCUACUGGAACAUUAUUGACGCUGAGACGCGAAAGCGUGGGGAGCAAA
rnacentral:rRNA from 1 species